UACAGAGGUCUCAAGCGUUGUUCGGAUUCAUUGGGCGUAAAGGGUGCGUAGGCGGCGCGGUAAGUCGGGUGUGAAAUCUCGGGGCUUAACUCCGAAACUGCAUUCGAUACUGCCGUGCUUGAGGACUGGAGAGGAGACUGGAAUUUACGGUGUAGCGGUGAAAUGCGUAGAUAUCGUAAGGAAGACCAGUGGCGAAGGCGCUCUGCUAGGCCGUAACUGACACUGAGGGACGAAAGCUAGGGGAGCGAAUGGG
rnacentral:rRNA from 1 species